rnacentral:rRNA from 1 species
UACGUAGGGUGCAAGCGUUAAUCGGAAUUACUGGGCGUAAAGCGUGCGCAGGCGGUCUGUUAAGACAGAUGUGAAAUCCCCGGGCUUAACCUGGGAACUGCAUUUGUGACUGGCAGGCUAGAGUAUGGCAGAGGGGGGGUAGAAUUCCACGUGUAGCAGUGAAAUGCGUAGAGAUGUGGAGGAAUACCGAUGGCGAAGGCAGCCCCCUGGGCCAAUACUGACGCUCAUGCACGAAAGGCGUGGGAGCAAACAGG